rnacentral:lncRNA from 1 species
GUUUUUCCCCAAGAUUUAUUUGAUAUCACAUUUUUAUCACUGAUAUGUUCAGUAAACUGUGACUUCUGCAAUACCUUUUGAACACAUUAUAUACAUAUGGCCACAGUUUCAUACACAAUGCUGUUUUUUCCUAAAAAAUAACUAAUUUAUAUAUUUUAUGUGUUGCACCUUUAUUUUUAUCCUUCAAUCUCAAAUUAAUGUAUAUGAAGACAAUAUUUGUGAAAAUGAUUGAAGAUAUAACUGACAUUACAACCUAUACAUUUAAUAAUGUAUUGAGAUACAAUGGAUUUAUAUUGCUAUUUCACACAAUAAUGCAGGAUAAAAUUCCAUUAAAAUAUCACUAAUCAAUAUACAUCAACAAUGAUCAAAGAAAGGGAUCUUUUUGUGUUGCUGAAUUGCUGUCCUUAUCUAAAAUCUCCUUUUUAACAUUAAGUCAUGAUUAAGAUAUUUUUUGUUCAAUUUCGAAUCAUCUUCAGCUAAUAGUGUUUUCAACCAACCACAAAUUUAUUCUUUUUCCACUAUUUUCAGUACUUUCUUGUUGUAUUAAAUAUAAUUACGAUAUUAAAACCAAUUUCAUGAGAAGCUAUAAAACUGAACACAAAUUCUUAACUUUAGGAAAAUAAACUGCUUACAAUUAAUCAUUGAUUUGUUUAAAUCAAAAGAAAUGUGAGACAUACAAUAAAUGAGACAGCAAUCCAACAGCACAAAAAAAACCCAAAGAUUUCUAUUUGUCAAGGACAGUUAUCUAUAAAUAAAUCUAUGUAUUAUGAAUAUCAUCACAAUAUUCAGGCAAUUUCACACAAAUGCACUAUCAAGCCUAUGCCAAAAACACAUGAAAUAUUAAUUUAAAGCUAACAAUGCCAUAACAAUACUAUAAAAUAGGUCAGUAAUGAUUAUUACUAUGGAAUGGGUAAAAAGACUUCAGUGUUAGAUUAUGUCUUUUUUGAAAGCUAACAGCUGGUCAUUAAAACCAUAAAAUAUUGGCUUAAAUUGCCAUCUGCAUACAUUUAACCAAAAUCAUUGCUAAUCUUUUUCCAGUUUUUAUUUUCACCUUGUUUGGAUGGCAAUAUUUCUUAAACUUAUAUAAACAUAGAUAAUCUUUAAUAACGAACAUCAGAAAAAAAAAUUCUUCAAUGUAUACAAUAAAAAUAAAGAUUAGAUAUAUUAAAGAUCAUUAAGUACAUAGUUUAAUGGGUUUUUGUACAGACAAGCUGUUGAAAUACCUUUAGAUCAAUAUUUAUUUUACAUGAGCAUAGUAUAAUAAAUAACUAAAUAAUUUAAAUGAAUUAAAUUUUAAUUGAUUAUAUAUAUAGUUGACAGAUACAACUUAUAUAAUUGCAAUAGUUGAACAUAAUCAUUUUUUUAAUAUUAACCUAUAAUUCAAAUAAAGUUAAAACUAUACAUAAAUUUAUGCAAUUCAUGAUAAAAACAGAUUUUCUAUCAAUUAUUUUCUUACUCUUAUUUCAAUAUCCUUAUAAUUUCACCACCCAAGAACAAGUAAAGAUUAUUCAUAACCGAAAUUCACUUCAUACAAACAACUUGCAGACAAAUUCAUUAUCAUUUCACACCAUUUACAUACAUAUAUACAUACAAAGUCUUUAAAUAAAAGGGCAAAAAAAAUGAAAUGUC